UACAGAGGUCCCAAGCGUUGUUCGGAUUCACUGGGCGUAAAGGGUGCGUAGGUGGCCAGGUAAGUUUGGUGUGAAAGCUCGGAGCUUAACUCCGAAAAGUCAUUGAAUACUAUCUGGCUGGAGGGUCGGAGGGGAGACUGGAAUUCUCGGUGUAGCAGUGAAAUGCGUAGAUAUCAGGAGGAACACCGGUGGCGAAGGCGGUUCUCUGGGCCUUACCUGACACUGAGGAGCGAAAGCGUGGGGAGCGAACAGG
rnacentral:rRNA from 1 species